UACAGAGGUCCCAAGCGUUGUUCGGAUUCAUUGGGCGUAAAGGGUGCGUAGGCGGCGCGGUAAGUCGGGUGUGAAAUCUCGGGGCUUAACUCCGAAACUGCAUUCGAUACUGCCGUGCUUGAGGACUGGAGAGGAGACUGGAAUUUACGGUGUAGCGGUGAAAUGCGUAGAUAUCGUAAGGAAGACCAGUGGCGAAGGCGGGUCUCUGGACAGUUCCUGACACUGAGACACGAAGGCCAGGGGAG
rnacentral:rRNA from 1 species